rnacentral:snRNA from 1 species
AAUGUAUUAAGACACUUUUCCUUUUGGAACAAGGCAGAGAAGGUCAGCAUGGCCUCUGCACAAGAAUGGCAUGCAAAUUUGUGAAGCAUUUCAUAGCUGU